rnacentral:rRNA from 1 species
UACGGAGGAUGCAAGCGUUAUCCGGAAUUAUUGGGCGUAAAGCGUCCGCAGGUGGUUUAUCAAGUCUGCUGUCAAAGCGCGAGGCUUAACUUCGUAAAGGCAGUGGAAACUGAUAGACUGGAGUGCGGUAGGGGCAGAGGGAAUUCCCAGUGUAGCGGUGAAAUGCGUAGAUAUCAGGAGGAACACCGGUGGCGAAGGCGGGUCUCUGGGCAACAACUGACGCUGAGGAGCGAAAGCGUGGGGAGCAAACAGG